GAUGAACGCUGGCGGCGUGCCUAAUACAUGCAAGUCGAACGCUGGAGAUCUAGCUUGCUAGAUCGAAGGAGUGGCGAACGGGUGAGUAAUACAUAAGCAACCUACCCACGAAGACUGGGAUAAUCUCUGGAAACGGGGACUAAUACCGGAUAGGUAAUCGGAAGGCAUCUUCUGGUUAUUAAAGGUUAAAAACACUGGUGGAUGGGCUUAUGGCGCAUUAGUUAGUUGGUGAGGUAACGGCCCACCAGGACGAUGAUGCGUAGCCGGCCUGAGAGGGUGAACGGCCACAUUGGGACUGGGACACGGACCAGACGCCUACGGGAGGCAGCAGUAGGGAAUUUUCGGCAAUGGGGGCAACCCUGACCGAGCAACGCCGAGUGAGUGAAGACGGCCUUCGGGUUGUAAAGCUCUGUUGUAAGGGAAGAACGGUAGAUAGAGAAUAUCUAAGUGACGGUACCUUAACAGAAAGCCACGGCUAACUACGUG
rnacentral:rRNA from 1 species